rnacentral:rRNA from 1 species
UACAGAGGGUGCGAGCGUUGUCCGGAAUCACUGGGCGUAAAGGGCGCGUAGGUGGCCCGACAAGUCAAUGGUGAAAGCUCGACGCUUAACGUCGAGUCGGCCACUGAUACUGUUGGGCUGGAGCACUGUAGAGGCUCAUGGAAUUCCGGGUGUAGCGGUGGAAUGCGUAGAGAUCCGGAAGAACACCGGUGGCGAAGGCGGUGAGCUGGGCAGUUGCUGACACUGAGGCGCGACAGCGUGGGGAGCAAAC